rnacentral:rRNA from 1 species
UACGAAGGGGGCUAGCGUUGUUCGGAAUCACUGGGCGUAAAGGGCGCGUAGGCGGCCGAUCAAGUCGGGGGUGAAAGCCUGUGGCUUAACCACAGAAUGGCCUUCGAUACUGUUUGGCUUGAGACCGGAAGAGGUUAGUGGAACUGCGAGUGUAGAGGUGAAAUUCGUAGAUAUUCGCAAGAACACCAGUGGCGAAGGCGGCUCACUGGACCGGUAUUGACGCUGAGGUGCGAAAGCGUGGGGAGCAAACAGG